rnacentral:tRNA from 1 species
UCAAAGAAUAGUUCAACUUAGAAUAC